UUCGUCAACAUUGAAAGCGUUGGAUACCCAAUUAUAUUUUUUCUAUAAAUUCUUGACGGUUUUAUACCGUACCGUGUUCUUACUAUGAUUCUCUUCUACUUUAUAAUGGCGUGAUUCUGAUUUUGGUUACUGAAGCCCAAUGAAUCAAUAAUUCAUUCUUAAAAGACUUUUACACUUAAAAGAAGCAAUUGUUCCUUGGAUUUAAGGUUAAAAAUUUUUUGCUACUUUUCAUUACUAUUUAAAGUAAGGAGAACAAUUAAGAUUGGUGAAGUUUAGUUUUCUUGUGUGCAUUUGUUUUGUUGACUUUUUAAAGAUAUUCUUUUGGUUGGCCAUUCCUGUAUCCUAUUGCAAACUCUUUCAGAUUGAAUCAAAAGCCCACCGACUUGUCAAACUGCAAACGUAUCGUCGAAGACGUCUUUUAAAAGAAUGAGUAUUUUGCAUCUUACAUGUUAAAACAAAAAAUAAUAUAGUUUUUAGACAAGCUGUUAUCAACAGUUGCUGAAAGCAAUGAUAAAGAUUUAUCUGUGAUUUAAGGAAGCUGACAUAGGCUAUGAAAAUAAACUUUUGAAAAUUGUAGAAUGAAGAACUGGAAAAGAAGACGGAAUGGUGGCUUCAGUGUUGCUGCACAUUCACCUUUGGAUAUUAUUCGAAGAGCUUGCAUUUACUAGGAUCCGGUGGUAGAAUUUGUUCACGAGAUGAAGAUGUUCCCAAUUCUCACUCUGUCAUGUGAGAUCGCUAGGCGCUUGACACUAAGAAAGUAAGGUAAUAAAUACCAUUGGUUACGACUACAUAUUACUUUUUUCUUCUACACUUAUCAACUGUCACAUAUCAAUCUGUCACACGGGAUGAGGAUCUGGCCCGUGACACUAAGAAAGAUUGUGGACUGCACUUUUUAUUUAUCGUAAUUUUUUAUCGGGAUGAUUGUUGGUGCUGUGCGCCAAUUUCUUUAACUUGAAAUAUUUGAAAUAUUUUCAAAAAAGCCGACUGUCCUUCAAACGUUUCGAAAUGGACAAAAAUUUCUUCAUUCACCGAAGAAAGAGAAACGAGUCAAAUGACUCAAAUGUCAAUUAUUGCAGGCUCAUCCCCAACAACGUCAACCUGCAGAAGGAAAGGCAAGUUUGCAUGUCCUUCACGUUCGAAGGUCACGGAGAUCAUUACGUAGAACUUGUCAUGCAGUGGGUUAGAGGUUGGGUGAGAACGGUAUGUGGUACAUAACCAUUUUGUAUUCAUUUUUAUAUUGGUUGUUGUAGACCCAUUCUCCAGAUGUAUUCCAACGUCAACUUACAAAUGGCCUUCAUACUCGAUUACUCGAAGGUCACGCAUAUCAUGACGUAAAACGUGUCACACAAUGGUGUAGAGGGUGGGUGAGAAAGGAACAUGAUUCAUCAUUGUCAAGCAGGUACAAUAGCCGAAGGGUUAAGAGGUUAGGGUGAGAAAAAAAAAAUCGUACAAAAGGAGAGAGAAAAGGCGAUAAAAAUCAGUCGAGUGAAAAUCUCCGACGCGGUAACAACUGCAGCGCACUAUUGUUACCAACUUCUUUCUUCAUCGUAUUAUCAGUUCGAAAUCAUGGGUGUAUAUUCUGUUGUUUUUUCACAUAGUUUUGUUUUAAUGCUACUAUUGAAUAGUUGUUAAUAUGCGAGUUAUUGUUGAAUUUUAAUGUUUAAAUUUAUUAAUUGUCCUGGUUAUCUAUGGCGUCGUCCUGCUGUUGGGUGUUGUGGUGUGUACCGAUGUCUCCUUGGGAUGGUGGAUAACAAACCACUGCGCCGCUGCCUAAUUACACAACAACGACAUACGAAACAGCCGGUUGUUUCAUUACCAAGGCUCCAGAGUUUAAACUAUAACUUGUGAUGCCCCAAGCUACUACACCGACGCCCCAAGCUACAUUACCAAAGAGACUGAGUACUACACCAAGGCGCCCAAUUGCUACACCUCUAUGGCACCGCAAUACUACACGAUUACGUAUGCUGCCCAAUCCUACUACUACACCGAGGCUCCCAAGUACUACUCUGUUCACAGCUACUCCACCGAGGAUUCGGCUCAUUACUCCACCAAAACGGUUGAAUACUACACCGGAGCUUCCAAGAACUACUCUGCCCCGAUUUACACAACCACAACUGAUGCGCCCAAGUAUUACGCAGCCCCGACUUACUACACAGAAGCUGCUCCUUCGAACUACGUUGAACACAAAUACUACACAGAUGUUCCAGUUAACUACACCACAACCUACGCUACAUGUCGCAGCUCCCGUUUUCACGCCUUUUUGUUGACUCAUUUCUAACACUGGAUAUUUAGUUGAAGGAAAAUGCGAAUGUCCCUGAAUACGAUGUUGUUUUGGGACUUGCUUUCCGACUCGGACACUUAUGCGUCGGCUUCAUCGCUUUCGCUUAUCGACCGAUAGGUACUUGGACAAUGCUACCAGAUUGGACGCCUUCAGCGACAGACUGUAAGGAGACCGACUCUACGCCGUAACAAGGUAAUAUUUUACUCCACCCUCCCGAGAUUUGAAUUUUGAAGAAAGCAAUCCGGGUGAGAAAAAUCGCAUAAAACGAGAGAAAAGACGACAGAAGAAAAGACAGUCGAUCGAGCAUCUCCGACACGGCAACAACAGCAGCGCUUUAAUUGUCACCAACUGCGUUCUUCGUCGUAUUAAAAAAGUUCUCAAUCAUGGACCCAUUCCAAUCCCCGGCAAUGUCAACCUGUAGAAGGAAAGGACAGUAUGCAUUCUUCACGCUCGAAGGUCACGGAGAUUAAUACGUAAAUGCAAUGGUGUAGAGGUUGGGCGAGAACUGGACGUGCUGCAUCAUUGUCAGGCAGGACUUGGUGAUAAUGUGAUGCAUCUGACUUGGUGACAAUGAUGUACCAUCCUGCUGCAUGCAGUCAUGUCGAAGCUAGACUUUAAGUAGAGCUGCAAAAAUAUUCAUAGAAAUGAAUGGUGAAAAUGUUCAGCGGUUUCGUAGUCUGGUUCCUAUUCUAAUUUUUAUCCUUGCACUGGUGUCCUUGCAGUAACUGAAGCUGGUGUCCUUCCAGUAACUAAUGCUGGUGUCAUCCUGAUGUUGCAGUGAAAUUCAUGUUGAUAACAAUAUUUUUAUCUGUAUUUGUGUUUCAUCCUGUGUAUGUGAUUGAAGAUACCGAUGCGUUUUUACUCUCCGAUAUAAUAUGUUGCAACAAACGUUAAAACUGGUCAUUCUAUAUGAUGUAAUUACCUCAACCCUAAUUAGGCCAGUUAGUUAUUAAAUGUAUAACAAAGUCAAACCUGCAAUGUUUUGUUAUGCUUGUAAAUUUAUUAUUGAAAUCAGUUUUGCAUAAUGUUAAAUGUUGCAACAAAUACAAAAACGCCGA
rnacentral:lncRNA from 1 species